rnacentral:lncRNA from 1 species
GUGCGUUCCCCCAAUAAAAUGUUUUCACGUGUAUGUUUUUCUCUGUAUUUUGUGAUUAGCAUGUGAGUAUGAAAAAUUUCAUAUCCUGCGACAUUGUGUCCUGUUGUAAAACGUAGAGAUGACGUAGGAUCUAGUUUUUUUUUUUUUUCUCAAUUUUCACCUUGUCUUGCAUCUAGUUAUAUCUCCACAAUUUAAAGCACACAGGUAUUUGCAUUAGAGAAUCAUAAAUAAUAUAAUAUAUUUAAUGUACUCCUUUGUAGAUAUCAAUUAAUUCGAUUGAUAAAAUUUAAGGACCACGAGGUUUUUUUUAUUUUUAUUUUUAUUUUUCAUCCAUAAAGACGAGACAAAAACUAACAUCUGUGUAGAUAUGUCAAUUCUUAGACUAAAUAUGAUUUCUCUUGACAAAACUAACUAUUUUCUCUAUACUAUUUUAAAAUUGAUCAAAAUCCUCCUCAUAUUAUUGAAAAAUUAGGAUAGACCCACUUUUAAACUCAGAAGUUUAAUUGACGAGUGACAUAAUUAUUUUUUAAAAGAUUAAAUGCCCUUCAAAAAGUGUGUAUACUCGUUAGUGUUUUGACAAUAGAGGAAUUUUGGUAUAUUUUGAAAUAGUAACAGGAAAUUAUUAAUUAAUUCCAUUAGAUAUCAGAGAGGUUUCGUUUGUUUUCCCAAGUUUUCUUAGUUUCGUGCGACUAAAGUUAAUUAAACAGCUAGUGGAGAAUAAUUGUGAUUAGAUUCUCAGUACUUGGGUUUAAUUAGCAAUGAGACGAAAGACGGAAACACAAACUGGUAGAAUACAAUUUAUUUGAAUAUUUUUUCUGUCCAGUUCAAGAAAUUAAGGAAAGAUGGAAUGCUAGCUGGUGGAUUUAAGUUGAAACGAAAUUAUAUUUUAAUCGAAAUAUCAUUUGAAUUAUGAACAAAUUAAAUGAAUUCAAUUCGGUCAGAACCGUAAGGUGAUUCAUGCAUUACAUAAUUUUGAAAAAAAUGUACUUUGAAUCCAAAAGCGAUAAGACAAUAAAUUAAAAAGUGGUAAUAAUACUUAAUUUCUCCUGCUUUUCUAUUGAUUAGACAAAAAAAUUUUAAAUUUAAACAAUGCAAUCAUGCUUGUCACUCACUUGAGUAAUGGAGCCGUUUGUCCUCAAGCUUCAGAUAAUCAGAUUAGAUCUUAUAACUGCGGCUAAUCAACAACAAGCCCUUAACCACACAAAAGAGGGAAAUUGUUAGAUUUCAUGACCUAAACAUUGCGAUAACAUGACGAUGCCAUGAUGAAAAUACAAAUGAAUACCGCCUAGAGAAUACAAAAUUCCCAACUUAAAAAUUGUAUUUGAAUAAAGUUAUAUGCACAUUUGAUGGCACAAAAUCUGAACUGUCGCCUAUUAUAUUUGAUAAUGUGUACAAGUGACUAAAGUUCACAAUUUAUUAGCACAAAAUAUCAAUAAGAAAAUGACACUACUGAAAGUUGGCUAAAAAAGUUGAAAAAGGGUAUAACAAAAUUCAAAUAUACAGAAACAGAUAAGGGAUUAAUGCUUGCAUAACUUAGUUAGUUAGUAAAAAGAAAUGGUGUAAAAUCAGUCAAGCAAGAAUUAGUUGUGAAGAAUGUGAUGGGACUCCAAAUAAUUGAGUUUUUACAUAAAUCAAGCGCACUGUUGUCAGUUGAAAUCUGGCCUUGUCAACAUGUGAGACAAAAAUGUGGUGCACUCCAUGAUUUGAUGGUAUGUAGGUCUCACAUUCUUUUAUAUAUUCUUACUUUAAUUUAAAUUAUAUCAAAUUAAUUAAGGUGAUGAGUCCAAUAAUUAUCUUUGUUUGUCACUCCACUACUGUUUCGUCUUUUGCUUUUAAGUGAUAAGUAUUCCAUUUACACCAAUAUUGUUUAAUGGCAUCUUUAAUUACCUACUUCCAUGCUUGUCUCCUAUUUUUUUUUCUUUUCUUAAUCUAACUAGCAUACACCCACCUCAUAAACCACCAAGUUAAUGAACUCACAUCCUUUUCGCUUCAUAGUUAAUAAAUAUUAUUUCUUUUUGAAUCUGAUGUCAAGUAUAGCUUUUAAAUUGACAUACUUAGAAAUAUAUGCAGUACUUCAAUUUUUUCAAAAAGACAUUCUAAAAUGUAUCUUUCUUUCCAUAGCAUAGCAAUUUUAUAUAAUUUUUUUUUAUAAUUGUGUUCCUACUCGUAUCACUAUCACUGUCUCAGUGGAAUGCCAGGUCAAUGGACCGCAUCCAACAAAUUCUUAAGCACAAGAAAACAAGACCAUCCAGCCAUAAAGUUAAUUAUUUGGUUGGAUUACCAAAAAGAUUAAUUAUAAUAUGAUUCAAGUAAUGUGCUCAAUGGCUAUAUCUUUUAUCUCCAAUUUGAUAUUUUAUUUCAUAAAUUUUACAGUCGAUGAUCUGUCGGAACCUCAGGUUGCCAGAUGUCACAUUUCACUUGGUUCUAUGUAUUGAGAAAUGUUAGAGCCUAGGGUUUGCUACUGAUAAUCUUUUAUUCCAUUCAUGUUAUGCUACUGUCAUCGAGGGAAAUAUUGCAACAUUAUUUUGAGAUAAGGAACAAAAUAAGCACAUACUCGUGCUCAAAUUAUUUAUCUAAAAAUCUUUUUGGGAGAAGCAAAUAUAUGGGGGCCUUGGAAUUGUCAAGAAGCACAGAAAAUUGUCAUCGAUAAAUAUUUUAUCUUUGCCUAUCUACCAAGUUGCUUUUGGCUUGGACCAUUCAUUCCUCAGGAUUAGGUAUAAGUUUUUAUUGUUUUCUGAUAGGCUGGCAAAGAUUUCCACAAUCUUGUGAAGGGCACUAUGGAUGUCUACUCACAAAAUAGUUUCUAUCGUUAAAGUCCUUUUUUCCCUGCUCCUGCAUAUGGAAAUUUCGGAUGCGAACGUAUUUAUGUUUCAGAAUAUGGAUUUGAGCAAUAUGCUACUAUUUUGUACUGACAAGAAUUUUCUCUCACAAUCAUAUAUCAUUAUUUUACAAUAAAAGCAACACUAUAUUAUUCAAAAUUUACAUUUUUAAUAUGUGAAAGUCUGUCAAUAGAAAAGAAUUACUCCAAAAUUUUAUGAGUUGUAUAUUUCUCUAAUAUUCACUUUUUAUUGUAAGUAUAAAAUUGCAUAAUCAUUCCCCUCCAUGAUCUAAGGAUUACAUCACCCUUAACAAUGUUAUCAACGUGUAAGGAAUUUCGACUUGUAUUACUUAGCUUUUCUUUAAGUUGAAAUUCCUCGUUCCAAUCUUAUAUUAUUAGAUGUUCAAUGGAAAUUAAACUAAUAAUAUAAGAUCAAUGGUGGGGUCAAUAAGAUAAUAACAAUUGAAAAAUUCCUAGAAAAUAAGCAACAUUAUUAAUCAAAGAUGUGUACGCUUCCAAUUUGUGAUGACUAAUCAUACACUAGAUUUUCCCUAUGCAAGCACAUAAUUUGUGAGUGAUAAGAAGGAAAAAGAGAAAGAUUCUACUAUUAGCCCAUGUUUCAAGACAUGAGAGAAGCAUCUGUGACCUCCACAAAGGGAAGUAUUAGUGGACUUGGAAAAUGACUUUGAGUCCCUUCAGUUGAGAAAGUGGGUCUAGUUAAAACGACAAUUGGUACAAUCAUGAAGGUUUUAAACACCUUACACACCACCUUCUUCAACCGUAAGAAAAAAGAAUCAAAAGAAAUUAAUUAACCAAAAGUUGCCAGGGCCACAAAACCCUAGUCACCUCCUUGCUUUGUGCCAUAUAUAUGCCUAUAUGCUCCACUGUUCUCUUAGAGCUUUCCCCACAAUCUUUGGACCAGCCAAUAAAAUUUUUCAAAAUGGCUUUAGGUCAAUUAAUUUUGAGAGGAGCGCAUCACUAGCUUAAAGUUGUUAUGUAGCAUCUGCAUCCAAAAUUUGAUUAUUUUUUGGUUAUUUUAUUCAUGGGAAAGAUUUCUAUAUCCAUGUAUCAUUUAAACACAAGACCAUAUGGUAAGUCCUAUUCUAAUAAUAAAUAAAGUUAUUAAUUAUCACUCGAUCUAAAAAUUUAAGCUUAAAUUAGUGAAUCCCCUGAGUAGUACCAUAUUAAGCCAUCAAUUAUCGCUUGACCUAAAAUCUUAUUCUCAAAUCAGUUGAUGGUAUGGAGAGAGAGAGAAGUUUUCACAAUUUACUCAGAAUGGUUUCUUCCGGAUUUAUUUUACAGAAAAAGGUUUUGAAACUAAAAAAAUUACAUUUGCUUCACUUCCGAGCAAUAAUAUUCUAUUCUUGCUUAGAGUGUUUAUUUUACUAGUAUGUUUUCAUAUUCUUAAUUUCUCUAGUUAUUGUAAGUUUUGAUUAUGUAAAAAUAAUUUUUGGUCGCGAAAAUUCAGACAGCAACGUUUCUGAUUAUGACACAAAAUUGCAUGUUCUGUGGCGGGCAGCUUCUCCAGAAUAUAAACAUGAAAAUAAAGAUUAAUGUUGACUGAAUUGUGAAGAAGAUAGGCUCAUAUGCCAGAAUUAUAACCUGUCCAUUUCUCAGUGGUUACACCAACCGUCUCUAUUUUAUUUUAGCACCAUUUAUCCAAAAAUGAAAUAUGAAUUAUGGACGGUAAUAAUGAAAUAUCCUUGCCGGCGGGGCAUAUUAUAUAUCAAUAACGAAACUGAAAUUAAUUAAUGAACUAAUAAAUAUGGAAGUUAUAUCUACAUCAAUCUUAAUUUAAUUAUUAUACCUACUUUUUUAUGCAUUAACAAUGAUGAUAAUGACAACUUUAUAUAUAUUAUGAUAUUUGUUUACUAGAUGCAAUUUAUACUUAAGAAUGAACUAGCUAGAAGCCUUGUGCUUAAUUAUGAAGCAUGAUGCUACUUUCGUAAUUUGCUAUUGAGUUAAUUUACCCAGCUGCUCAGGGAAUGAAUAGGCUAUACAGUACAUGGGGAUUUGAACAGUUUUGCAUGAUGAAUAGACUUGUCAUAACCUAGUUUUUUGAGAAAGAAGAUUUCAGAAGGAAAAAAGAAAGAAAGAAAGAAACUUUUCAUUCCUAUAAUUUGAAUCCAUAUGGUAAAAUUAAUAGAAUCAUUAUAAUUGCUAAUUAAGUAUAAGUUGUCGUUAAUUGUUACAUUAGCUAGGGGCGGAACUAGGUCUAGUCCUGGAAGCCGGAAAAAGUUUCAGAUGAAAAGGAUUGCAAUGAAAUUUUACUAAUUUAUGUAAAAUUUUCAUUUGGCGCCUAGUUUUAUAUUUUUUUAAUCAUGUAGCUUAAUUAAGUACAUUUUUUCCAUUUUGGUCCUCAUUUUCGGCCUCUCAAUUUUACUAAUUCUUCGUUACAACCUACUAAAGUUUAUGAUUUUUAUAUUAUAGCUCCGUCAAAUCAAAAUCAGUUCUGCCACACAUAUAUUUGCUUAAUAUUUUAUAUAUUGUGCUUUUAAAAUGAAAAAAAGAGUAGUAUGAUUGUUCCAAACAUACCUCAAUUUUAAAGGGGAAGCUUUAAUACUUGGUGUGAAAGGGUUGAGGGCAAAAGCACGUGCAUUGACGAGACCGGCGAGAUCAGUCUCUCUCUCUCUUUUUUUUUUUUUUUCAUUUUUCCCAUCCCACUCUCCUACCGCCACUGUCGCGGACGGGAUGGGGGUAAAUUUUGUAAUAAUAUGAAAGUAAAUAGGCGCUUGCUUUAGUGGCCCUACACAAAUUGCGAUGGCAAUUAGCUGUUUUGGGGCAGGGGUCCCCCACCCAACUAAGCUCUUUUUCAUUACAUCAUGUGCCCUUUAAGCAUGGCUUAUUAACUUGCUUCAUUUGUUAUAAAUGAGUGGGCAUGGAGCAUAGGUAUUUGCAUCUGUGAGUAUCCCAAAUCCACCAUUUUCAUUAACAGCUAGCCAGCCAUCAUCAGUCCUGAAAACUGCUCUCUCUCUCUCUCUCUCUCUCUCCCUCUCUCUUCUUUUAAUAUAAUUGUGGCAUCAUCAGCAUGAGAAGGUGUGUGUAGAGCAAGAUGGAGAAGCAGGGCACGUGCAUUACUAACUCAACCGCACAUACAUCUACUAACAAAAAUUAAUUAAUCCACACAUUUUGAAGAAACCAAAUCAAGAAGCAGCAUGCUCUUUCUGUUGUUAUAGCUCAGUCAUGAGUUGAGUUAUUUCUUCAUGUGCCCUUCUUCCCCAUCAUGACCGCGGCACCUUGUGUGUGUGUGUGUAUCAUCAGGGAUCAGCUCAAGAUCUGAAUUUCUUCUUAGCAAAAUUCAUGUGCCAAUCUAAAGCCUACCAAAGCCGCAAAGCUCGCCAUUUCAGGUCAGUCCAUUCUUGUCAAAAACCUAGCAAGAAAAUUCUGUUUGUUGUCAUGGAAGCAAAAUUUUGAAUUAACAUUAACCGAGAAGCUAAUUAAUAAGCUGCUGUAGCGAUAAGGACUGUAAGAAAAAUAUGCAUGCAAUACUGACGGAUGUGGAACAUAUAUUGUGAUUGUGAGAGUGAAAUUUCCGUUUUUUCAACGUUCAACAACCUAUGGUUGGAUAAACAUUGACCGAAUAGUUAUCAUUCUAUGUUGUCAUAAUCAGGAUAAAAACGUGACCCUAUCUUGAGACUAAUUGAACAUUGAUCACGAAAUUAAUUAUUAGGGCUAGCUAGCUGCUUACUUAGAGUCACCAUCUUCGCCGUGAAGUUUGAUCAAAUUAAUGAUCUCCAACUUCACUUCAGGAUUUCGAAUCUCAAUUUUCCGUUCUCUUUCACUUAGAAAGAGCUGUUUGGAAUUACGUGUGCUGUCUGUGUACAUGUAAAAAUAAAGUACAACAAGUCUUCUGACAAAUAUACGUACUCUCUGUUUAAUUGAUUUUCCCAAAGCAGAAACCCAUUUAGCAUUUCUCUAUUAACAUACGAUAUUUAUCAAGUAAAAUACUCAAUUGGGAAACAAAACAAAAAAAAGCAACUUCGCACCAACCCAAGAUUCUUCCUCCUGUUGCUGAUCGAUGAUUACUUCUUGUUGUUUUCUUAUUUUUCGAGUUAAUUUUCUAUUAAGCACUACUUUUUAUAUCAUACUUCUUUGCUUUGUUCUAAUUACAUUCAUUUGAAUUUAUCACCUAAGCUGAAGUCGCAAAAGAACAUUGUAUUUUUAAUUAUUAUUAUUAUUAACUUUGUUUUUCAGGACAUGAAGCUUUUCAAGGCUUAAGAAAUAAGGACAGGAACGAAUCUGGAUAUUUAAACUGGUUUCUUUUUAUACAGAUUAUUAUUAUUAUUAUUGUUAUUGUUAUCAUUAUUAUUAUUUGCUUAGUAUGAGAUUAGUAAACUUGAGGACACGUUAAGGAAUUAAAGCAUAAAUUCCCAAGAAAAGAGAUUACUUAAGGACAUGAUCAAUUAAGAUGCUAAGAGAAUUGGUACCACCACCGAGGAGACAGUUCAAGAAAACUACAAUACCGCACACAAGUCUAUUUAAUCUCUGGCAUUUCUCCUCACAUCCACGUUGGAUCGAAAAUGAAAAGCCAUAGAUUAGGCGAUUGCUUGCUCUUCAACCCAAGAAUGAUUUCUCGGUUUCCGAAUCCAAUAUAUCACAGAUUUUUGUUUAAUAGCUGUUUGGAAGAUACCAUAGAAAAGGAUGUGUGCAUACAUCGUUACAUGUACUUUCUGAUCAUAAAUAUUAUUUGCUUUUGUUGUGUACAAAUUCCAACUUUUUCAGAAUAUAAAAUUAAUUCAUAUUAAAAAGAGUUAGACAUCGAUUAUUUGAAUAUUUUCUUUCUUGACCUUAAGUGCGCGCUUUCUUUGAACAUUUUCUUUUUUGUAAUAUUUGUUGUUCAUGAUUUUGCAAAACAUAUUAAAGAAGUAGCACUAACCUAUUAUUUUAUUCUCUUUUAAGUUUCAUAUGCAAUAAAUUUGCUUUGCUUUGCCUUGCCUAUAUUUUAUCAAAAACACACACGCAUAAAUUUCUUGAUGACAGAUCUUUUAAUGAACCUAAACUAUCAAUAUGUGAAAAAUUCUCAAGUUCAUGUUCACGCUUUAGAAAAUGUAAAUUUGAAUAGCACAUCUUUAUUUCUUAUUCCUUAAUAAUAUGCUUCUUCUUUUUAACAACAAUAAAUAGUUAUUUUGUUACAAAAUAGUGAUGUACUACUCAAAAUCAAUAUUUUAGAAUUUCCAAACUACAAGAAUAUUGGUUUUUAUCAAUGAAACUUUUAGCGAUGAAAACAUUAUCAUCACUGUAAGUACUUUUUAGCAAUGAAAAAAAUUUUGUUGCUAAAUUCAUAAUAAAAAAAUAAUAUUUAAUUAUUACUUUUAGCAAUGAAUAUAUAUUGCGACCAAAAAUUUUGUUUAUUGUCAAAACUCUUCAUCGCUAAAACUCUUUUAUAUGUCAAACGAGCAUGUUUUAGUGACGAAAACAUAUUUUGUAGUUAAAACUUUUUAAUAUGUCAAAAGAGUAUGUUUUAGUGACAAAAAUAAAUUUCGUUGCUACAAAAUAGUUUUAGCGACAAGAUUUAUUUUCAUCAAAUUUAGUCGCUAAAACUUUUUGAUAUACCAAAAGAGUAUGUUUUAGCGACGAAAAUAAAUUCCGUCACUAACAUAGUUUUAGUGACGAACUAUGUUAGUGAUGAAAUAUGUUGGUCGUUAAAACUCUUUGAUAUGUCAAAAGACCAUGUUUUAGCAAUGAACAUUAGAUUUCAUCACUAAAUGUGUACCUUCAGUGACGAAAUUUGUAUUGCAUCGCUAAAAAAAAGUGAAAAUCUAAAAAAAAAAUUUGGCGGAUGUUUUGCACUAAAAUUUAAGACUUUUAGUGAUGAAUUUGAAUUUCAUUGCUGAAUGUGUACUUUUAAUGACGAAAAUUAGAUUUCAUCAUUAAAUAUAGUUUUAGCAAUGAAAUAUUUAUUUCGUUGCUAAAAAAUGUUAAGAUUUAAAAAUUUGGCAGAUUAUUUUCCGUUAAAAUUAAGUUUUAGAGAUGAAUUUUAAAUUUCGUCGUUAAAAACUCUUGUAUCAUAUUUAUAUAUCAUUUAUUUCAUUGUCUCUUUCUUUGUCUCAUUCUCUCAUUCCCUUACUUUUAGUCUUUAAUUCUCUCAUCUCUAAAUAUAUAAUUGUCAUUUUCUAAUUUAAUCUAUACUUCUUUUCUGUUUUGUUUUUAAUAUGGUGUAAUUUUUUUUACUUAUCUUGUUUAUUCCAACUUAUAUUAUUAUUAUAUUUGUGUUUAUUAUGUUACCUAAUUAUUGUGUGUUUAUUUGUAGGGAAUAUUGAAGAUCAGUUACAUCAAGAUGAAGAAAAUCAAGAAAUUUCUAUUCAUUUGUGACAAUUUUCUUUCAAAAAAUGGAUAUCAAAUUUUGUGAUUAUUUUUGUAUUGUUCAUCAAUAACAAUAAUUCUUUUAAAAUAACUAAUUUUGCUUUUAUCAUAAUGGUGUUAAUUGUCAUUGUAAAUUUAGUAUUAAAAUAAUAAUAUUUUAACAAUAGUAAUAAUAAAUAAAUAAAAGAAAAACGAUAGACGAAAAUUAUUAUUCGUCGCUAAAAGUUAUUUUUGUGAUGAAAGAAAAUUCGUCACUAAAAGAACUUUUGGUGAUAAAAUAUAAUUCGUUGCCAAAAGUACUUUCGACGACGAAGAAUUCUCUUCGCCAAAUGUGCUUUUAGCAAUGAAAACAAUUUUGUUGCUAAAAAUAAUCUUAGCGACAAAAUUUAAAAAUUUGAUGCCAAAGACUUAACAUGAGGCUCCUAUUGCAACGAAAUAGCAGCAAAAUGUUUUUCGUCAUUAUAGCCUUUAACGACGAAAAUUGUAUGUUUCAACGACGAAAUUGUUUGUUACUAAAGCCAUUUUUGUUGUAGUGCCAAUAUUCAUUAUAGAAAAAACUAUCUCAGUAUGUGGAGAAGGUUUUCACUGCUUCUAAAAUAAUACACCAAGGUAACAUUUACUUCUCGAAUUGGAACGAGAAUCUUGGAUUGGGAGCGUAGAGUGAGAGUGAGAAUUGGAGUAGGGUGCUUAUUCACAUUAGAAUGAGAGUGUGAAAUAAGAAUCAAAAUUUCAUUUAUAUGUUUAUUUUAUCUUGGUUGAGAAUGAAUUGUUUUAAAUCAUAGUUUUACUCAUAUUUAAAGAAUUAUAGUUUUAGUUACAAAGUAAUAAAAAGUACAUUUGUAGAUAAACUAUCUAUUUUAUUAUUAAUUAUUAAUAUUAAAUAAAUAUAAUAUAUUUAAAUUAAAUAAAUAUAAUAAUAUUAUAUUUAAAUAAGUUUAAUAUUAGUAUUUUUAAUAAAAGUAAUAAUAUGAUAUUAUUAUUUUUAAAUAAAUGUAACAUAAUUUUAUUUUAAUAAAUAUAAUUAUAUGAUAUUUAAUAAUAGAAAGGUAAAAAAAGAAUUUCUACUCCCACCUUCUCCAUGUGAAUGAGAAUCUCACUCCUCACUUUAAAAAUGAGUGGGACUUACAGAGUGAAACUCUUAUCCUUAUUUUUAAAUUAGAAAGUAAACGCUGGAGUGAGAGGAAGUAACACUCCCCAUUCCUACUCCAACAAGUAAAUCGGUAGAAGAGUUUUGCCUUUUGAGGCUUGACCAAGUGGAAGUAUCAUUAUUUGAUUGGCCACCUAAAUUCAAAUCUUAGAAAAUGUAGGAUAUAGGAAAUGGAUUUGGUACUUUGCCAAGUGCUCAAAUAUAGAUUGCAUACUUAUCUUUCUUGAUAAUAAAGAGAAAACGAUUAAUGUGUUCUCUUAUUUUACUUGUUUCUUAUUUUGUUUUGAUUAUUUAGUCAUGUAGGGGUAGUAACGAUUUAGUGAAUCGAAUUCAUGUCGAAUCAUAAAUGAAUCAAAUCAAAAUUCAAUGGAUUCAGAUUCUAUUAUUUUAAUAAAUGAAUAUUCGUUUACAAUUCAUUUAUUGUAUAAAAUUAAAUAAAAUAAUAAAUUAAUUUUUUAAUAAAGAAUCAAAUAGAUUCAUCUAAAUUCAUUUAUUAAUAAACAAAAUCGAUUCAUUACAACUAGAUCCAAUCAAACACAAAUACAAUCCAAAAACAAGAAACUGAAGAAACUCAAAGGCAUAAGGAAGGACAAAGUUGAUGGUCGAAUUAGCAACAGGUGUGACCACGGCCGGCUUUAAAGUUUUUGGGGCCUUAGGUGAAUUUUUUUUUAUGAGGUCUCUUUUUAUUCUGCAACUUCAAUACUCCAAGAAACAUAAAAAUCUCAAAAUUUAUUCUAUAUUUAGUUCUUGAAUUUCAACAAUAAUUAAGAAGAUCUUAAAAAUUUUUAAAAAUAGAACUUAAAAAAUAGUGAAGAAGAUAUCUUUUUUUUUAAAAGGGAAGAAGAUAUUUUUUUUUUACUUCCAUCGGAACCAUUAAAAAAUAAACAAACAAAUAAAUAGGAAAAAUACUAUUUUAAAAUAGAAUAUCUAGAAUUGCAGAACAUAGAAAGUUGAAAAGAUGAAUUGAUAAUCAGAUAAUGGAUAUGGGCUUUAUAUUUUAAGUAAUUAACUUUUUCUUUUUUAAAUGAACUAAUGAAUGUAAUAAUUUUCUUUGUAGAUAAGACAUCAAGAAAUUGUUUCAUCAAUUGAUUUUUGAGAUUAUAAGAUUUUUAAUAGAAAUUAAAAGGAAUACAAAAAGUUAAAGAUUCUAAUGUUGAAUAAUUAAGUUUUCUAGAAAACUGAAAAGGUAAAUAAUUUAAUUUUUUUUCUUGGAAAGAUUAAUAGUGAAUGAAUUAAUAGUUAGAUAAUAUUAUUAAUUUUAUCUCUUUAACACUAAGAUUAAAAAAUAUAGAUAGCCUUUCCUACAAUACAUAAUUAAAAAAAAACUCAUUAAUUAAAAAAUUAUUAAGGACAUACUCAAAAGAUGAUGCCUUUCUUGGGACUUUAGGCGACUGUCUUGUUUGCUUAUACUUAAAGCUACCACUGGAUGUGACUAUUCGAGACCUUAUCACUACCGUAAGUGAAGCUUACUGGAAAAUUUUGAGUGAGAGCAUUGAUAUGAUCUUGGGAGUGUCUAGUUUGGCUUCCACUUAGGGGAAUGAAGAAACUAAUCUUCAACUCCAGGUGAAAGACAACGAUGCAGGAAGGAAAAUGAAGAGUGGAGCUAGGGUGGGCUGAUGAGUGAUCAUGCCCUUGCUUUCAUUUUCUCUUUUUUUUUUUUGGGUUUGUUAUCAUUUCAUAAUUACAAAAAUAACCUUAUACCUUGGAGUGUUUAAACAUUUUUUUCAAUUUUAAUGGUAUAUAAGUAAUUUUAUUCAAAGGGUCAUUUAUUAUUCUAUUCACUUAAUAAAUGGAAAAGGACAAACACACCCCCAACGUUUAGGCAAAGGGACAAAAAUCCUCCUAACAUUUCAAAAAAGACAUUUACACCCCAAUUUAUUAUAAUUUUACUAUUAUACCCUUCUAGCAUAUAAAUUUUUUUUAUUAAAUUAUCCAAUUUGUCUAUAUAUUGUUAAUAAAAUUGUAAAUAGACAAAUUGGAUAUUAUAAAAAAAAUUUAAAUAUACCCUCAUUGCCCAAUUUCUCUAUUUAAAUUUUUAUCAAUAACCAAUUUGCAAAAAAGACAUCUAUACACCUAAAAAAAUUAUAAAUAAAUUAUAAUUUUAAAAAUAAAAUUGGUUAUUAAUAAUCAAUUUUAUUUAAACUUUAAACUUGUAUAUUUAACAAUUCUCCACAUGUCAAUCAUUUAAACUUGUACAUUUAUAACCAAUUUUCUAUGUUAUUUAUUAUGGUAUUAAUAACCAAUUUUAUUUAUAAAAUUAUAAUUUAUUUACAAUUUUUUUUAAGUGUGUAGAUGUCUUUUUUGAAAAUUGGUUAUUGAUAAAAAUUUAAAUAGAGGAAUGAGGCAAUGAGGGUAUAUUUAUAAUUUUAUUAACAAUAUAUAGAUAAAUUGGAUAAUCUAAUAACUUUUUUAUAUGCUAGAAGGGUAUAAUGGUAAAAUUAUAAUAAAUUGGGGUGUAAAUGUCUUUUUUAAAAUGUUAGGGGGAUUUUUGUCUCUUUACCUAAACGUUGAGGGUGUGCUUGUCCUUUUCCCCUUAAUAAACAAAUUCUAAACAAAUAAACAAAUCGAUCUCAAACCCGCAUUUGAUUCGUUUAUUUUAAUGAGUCGAAUUGAAUUUAUAUAUUUAGUAAACAAAUUAAUUUUUUUAAACCCAAACUCAUUUAAUUCGACUCGAAUAGAAUUAAAUCAAUGAAUCCUAACUUAAAUUACCACCCCAAGUUAUAUGAGAUAUUAUCAACAAGGCUCACUUUGUGAAAGGAAUAAAAAAAUUGACACAAAGAGUGCUCUUAGGAUGCUUCCUAGGAUGCUUCCAACUUCAAUGAUUUCUUUAAAAAAGAAAAAAAAAAGUUAAAAAGACAGUAAAAUUUAUUCUCCUUUAUUUACAAACUUCUUGUCCCACAUUUUUUGCCGGGUGAAAGUGAACGAAUCAUUUAAAGCAAGCUGACAUCAUAUAUGUAAUAAUUAGAACCACAAACUUAAAUAAUUCGACAUCAAUAAGCAAUAAGUCUCUGUUGAGUAAUAUAUAAAUAAAGAAAACGAUAGAAAUAGACCAAAGUAUAUUAAUGAAAGCAUAUUAGAAAAGCAAGCAAAUGGGCUGGUUAGAAUCACAAUUGCAGCUCCCAGCUGGCACGGUCAGCUACAAGCAAAGUUACAUGAAUUUGUGGUUCAGAAAAGUAUUUUCUCUUGGAGUUUUAAAGCUUUGAAUUGAAUCUUGAAGUUUAAGCUUUUCAAUACAGCGAGAUCACUCGGUAAUUGUCUAAUAAUCAUUUGACUGUUGAAAAUUCGUCAAAGAGAGUAAAGGAGAAGCAAUGAACAGUUAAACUACAUGACAUCUCUCCCCCGAAUGAUCUCGUUACCAAGAAACGACACGUCCCCCGCUCUUUCAAACUGUAGACAAACUGUUUAGGAUUCCAGAACAUAAGAUCCAAUUUGUCGCAAAAUGUCGCAUAGAUCAACUGCACCACUUAAGGAACUCUGGACAAGCUGUUCGUUUCUUCUGUGAAACCGUUUCGUGAUAUUCUAACUUGGAACUUGGAAGUAAAGAUGCUCUUAGACUAAUCACCCUACAACUGGCUACCAUACCACCUGGCAGAAUUUGGAGCAAUAUACUGCAAGGUGAUGAAGCAUCUGCACUGUUACCACAAGCAAUCCAUUGAAAGAAUACAAGAAACUGAAGAAAGAAUGCUGACAGCAUAUUUGUGCAUUGCUAUUAUAAAAGGAAAUGCAUGCUUCUGAAUGUCCAUUAAACGAUAAUGCAAAAGGCCUCCAGCUAAUAUGCCAAGCUUCAGCAUCCUAGUGGUUAACUUGGGAUCUGUCGGACAAAUUAACUACCAGCAAAGUCCUUACAUUUUAAAAAUUGCACUGGGGGUCAGGUUGAUGUUAUAUAUAGCGUAGAUGCAGGCCAGAAUUCAUCACCUUUGCAAGCCCAAUAUCAGGUACAAAUGGCAGGCACAAUAGGUGAUGCGGAAAUCAGGUGGAUAGCAACUUAACUUUCUUUCCAGCAGAGGAUAUAUAACUCAAACAAAGACUAUUUGGUGCUCGUCCUUCAACUAUGCCUAAAUUGGAACCCAAAGGUGGCAAAUUGAAUAAGUGACGAUUAUAUUAAUGAUCUCUUGCUUUAAUAUAUCAUGAUCUUCAAUGUUGAAGUCUUCUAUAAAUUGUUUAACUUUAUUAAAUUCUUUACUUAGUUGAUCUCUUAACUUUUUAAUUUUUUUUUUAUAUUUCCUUCAUUGAAAUUAUUAAUUUCUAAUAUUUUGUUUACCCAUUCUAUGUCAUUUAUAGAUAAAUUUGGGGUUUCUAAUUUAUUUAAUAAAUAUAGUGACAUUCAAUUUAAUUAAUUAUUUCUUCACAUGUUUGAAUCAUUGAUCAUAUCAAAUGGUUGAUAUUUUUCAUUAAGAUUCCGGUAAUUUAUUCAUUAUACUAUCUUUUUAAUAAUUCAUUAGAUUCGUAAGAUAGUUAUCACAUAUAAUAUUUCUUAUAAUUCAGGAUACUAAAUUUAGAUUACAAAAUCUAUGUGACAGCAUUGAUGGUAUGUAUUUAGGAUGAAAAAUAGAUUGAAUGUGUGUGUGUGUGUGUGUGUUAGAAGAAAAAUCUAGCCUAUGUCUCAAGAGAGACAAGAAAUUAUAAAUACAGGCAUAAAAAUAUAUUCAAAAUUUGUGGAUCUUUAUGAAUAUAAUAAUCAUUUAAAUCUUUAUAAAAAUAUAGUAAAAACUUUAUAAAGUUUUAAAAAUAAAUGUAAAAGAGAUGGAUGACAAAACCAUUUAAUUAUUAAAAAAUCAAUAAGUACUUAUUUGAUAAAAUAAGUAAAUAUGUGAUUAAAAAUAAAAAUUUUCUUUAAAUUAUUAUUACAUCUGUACUUUGUUUUAUGUUAAAAUUAUGUUUAUCCAUUGGAUUUAAGGAAUAUCAAAAUCAAUUGUUAACCCAAAACUUUGGUCAAAUUUCAAAAUUAGCCCUCCAAAUUUAUUUCUAUCAACAUUAGCCAAACAACAUCCAAAGUGGCGAAAAUGCCCCUCUCAUUCACCAAGCUUCCUCUUUCUCUAACGAACGAUUCUCUCCCAAGUUCACUCAUCGCCGACAACUUUCCAGAGUCCAUUCUCAGCAACCAACGUCACCAAAAUUUUGGCCAAAAUCUGAAAUCAAUAAUUAAUUCAAAAACCCUAAAUUUUAUUGCAUGUUCUAUUAUCUUUUCUUCUUUUUAUGUUGUGUUGGUGAUGGUGAGGGAAGAUUGAAUAGUUUGUGAUAUUGGUGGCUUGAGUGAAGUUGUUGGAGUGGGUGAUGGCCAAUUUGUAGGGGUGUGGGGUGCUGGCCAAUUUGUGGGGGUGUGGGGUGCCGGCCAUGGCUAGGCAUAGCACCUGAUCAGGUGCGAUAGACACCCUGUCACACCAAGAGACAGUGUGCGUGCAACUAUCUGUUACCUGUCACACCAACAUACAAUGCCACCGAAACUCUUGUCGCACCAUAUCAACUCAACAAAUGCCUCUUAACACUUUGGUGAUGCAAAAACAAAAAAUAAAUAAUUUAAGAAACAUUUUAUCAAACACUUAAUGUGCAAUACUUCUACAAAACUAAUUUUUUUUCAAUUAACUUAUCUAGAUUUUGGACUCUAAUUCACUUUGUUAGAAUCGUGUCGGAUUGGUGUUGGAUUCGACUAAAUUUGAUCGAACUCCCCUUUUACCAUUACCGUUACCGGUCGCCGUUGCCAUUUGCCGCUACCGACGAUGAUUCAAGAGGGAAAAAUUGUGUUCGGUUUGAUAAAGAGGAGAGAAGUUGGGAUUGAACUAACAAGGGUAUUUUGGGGUAAAAAAACUUGUGUUUAACUAGUUAUAAUAGAAAAAAGUUUCAAAGAUUAAAUGUGAAAAAUGACAAAAUUGUUUGGUUAGUUUUGUAAAUUUCCCAAAUCAAUUGCCUAUAUUCAUUAGCUUGGCCCAAACUUAAAUAAUUGGACAUCAAUAAGCAAUAAGUCUCUGUUGAGUAAUAUAUAAAUAAAGAAAACGAUAGAAAUAGACCAUAAGUAAAUUAAUGAAACCACAUUAGAAAAGCAAGCAAAUGGGCUGGUUAGAAUCACAAUCGCAGCUGCCGGCUGGCAUGGCUAGGUACAAGCAAAGUUACAUGAAUUUGUGGUUCAGAAAAGCAUUUUCUCUUGGAGUUUUAAAGCUUUGAAUUGAAUCUUGAAGUUUAAGCUUUUCAAUACAGCGAGAUCACUCGGUAAGAGUCUAAUAAUUAUUUGACUAUUGAAAAUUCAUCAAAGAGAGUAAAGGAGAAGCAAUGAACAGUUGAACUACAUGACAUCUCUCCCUGGAAUGAUAUCGUUACCAAGAAACAACAUGUCCCCCGCUCUUUCAAACUGUAGACAAAAUGUUUAGGAUUCCAGAACAUAAGAUCCAAUUUGUCGCAAAAUGUCGCAUAGAUCAAUUGUUUGCACCACUUAAGGAACUCUGGACAAGCUGUUUGUUUCUUCUGUGAAACCGUUUUGUGAUAUUCCAACUUGGAAGUAAAGAUGCUCUUAGACAAAUCGCCCUACAACUGGCUACCAUAACACCUGGCAGAAUUUGGAGCAAUAUACAGCAAGGUGAUGAAGCAUCUGCACUGUUACCACAAGCAAUCCAUUGAAAGAAUACAAGAAACUGAAGAAAGAACGCUGACAGCAUAUUUGUGCAUUGCUAUUAUAAAAGGAAAUGCAUGCUUCUGAAUGUCCAUUAAACUAUAAUGCAAAAGGCCUCCAGCUAACAUGCCAAGCUUCAGCAUCCUAAUGGUUAACUUGGGAUCUGUCGGACACAUUAACCACCAGCAAAGUCCUUACAUUUUUAAAAUUGCACUGGGUAUCAGGUUGAUGUUAUCUAUAGCAUAGAUACAGGCCAGAAUUCAUCACCUUUGCAAGCCCAACAUCAGGUACAAAUGGCAGGCACAAUAGGUGAUGCGGAAAUCUGGUGGAUUGCAUCUUAACAUUCUUUCCAGCAGAGGAUAUAUAACUCAAAUAAAGAAUAUUUGGUGCUCAUCCUUCAACUAUGCCUAAAUUGGAACCCAAAGGUGGCACAUUGAAUAAGUGACGAUUAUCUUAAUCCCAACUCAUGAUUCAGCUUUCUGGAGGCUUUCUAAGAAAUAGUUUACAAUUCUGUCAAAUAUGAAAUUUGACAUCUAGGGAUACUGUUGUGCAUAGCUCCUCCAUAACAACAGGUAUGGCAUUCAAAAGUCAAAUAGGUUACUGACCAAAAAAAUCAUCCUUCCAUUUUACAAGGCGUGUUUAAGAUUUGAUCCACCAAACGAAUGAAAGAAGUAUUUACAAAAUCAAGUUUGGAGACAGAGCUAAGAAGAAGUGCCUCCCAAACUCUUGCUCCAGGAGAAACAUCCUUGUCAGCCAUUUGCUUGAGCAAUUCUAGCGCCUUACGAACCAACCCCCUUUGGCACAGCCCACAUAUUGUCUCAUCAAACAUCGAACUUUGAGUGCACAAACCCUUAUUCAGUGCCUCCUCCAACAGACCACAAGCUUCAAUAAUAUCACCUUUACUAGCCAAACCAUCAAUCAUAAUACUAUAUGUCUGCAAAUUUAACACAAUGCCUUUCCAUUUCAUCUCCUUUACAAGUUCCCUUAAUCUAUUUAGCUCCCGAACCUUGCACAAAGCCUGCAACAAUGUAUUGUAAGUAAUCACAUCUGGUUUGCUUCCCAACUCCUCCAUACAAGCAAUCAUCUUUAUUCCAGCUUCGACAUUAUUUUGCUUACACAAACCAUUUAUAUACACAUUGUAAGUAUAAACAUCAGGAACUAAACCCAACACAAGCAAUUCAUCAAACAGCUCCUCUGCUUUCACAUAAUCCUCCUGUACUAUAACCCCAUUCAAUACCAUAGUAUAACAAACGAUAUCAGGCUUAAUGCCAUCUGAUUUCAUCUGGUUCAAAAUACCCAAUGCAUCAAAAACCUUUUCUUUCUUCACCAAAGACCUAAUCACAUUUGUAUAAUCAACCAUGCCAAAACAAAACCCUAAUUUCUUCAUUUCUUGAACAAAGCCUAAAAGUUCAUCACUAGACAAGUCUCUUUGUUCACAAACAGAUGACAAAAUCCAAGAGCAAGUCUUUCCAUCAACACAAAACCCAUCGUUAAUCAUACAAUUCAAUAUCUCAAUAGCAAAACCAACUCUAUUAAUUCUACAAAGGGUACUAAUCAAUAUCCGAAAACUCGAUUCCUCAAUCCUAAUAUUCAUAAGCUGACUCUUGAGCAAAAUUUGUGGAACCAUUUUAACCCAUUCUUUAUUUCUACAAAGAACUGAAAGCAGAGCAUUAAGUGAGUACACAGAAGGCACACACCUGAACUUGGGUAUUUUAUAAAACAGAUUAACUGAAUCUUGAAAUCUGUGAGCAUCUGCAUAAGUUUUAAUUAGAUCAAUAAAUAUAAACUCAGGUGUUUCAAAGUUUUCCCUUUUUUCAAUGUGAUCAAGAACUGAGGAAAUGUCACAAAAUUGAGAGUUUUCAGCUAGGGUUUUGAUGACAAAGUGGUAAGCUUCUGGGGGUGGUUCACAAUUGUAAAUGCUAAAUGAGUGUAAUAAAGAAGAUAGAAUAUGGGGCUGCUUAGGGAUUUGUUGUUGUUGUUUUGUUGGUGGUGUUGUUAAAGAUUGUUUGACAUUUUGCUUUGCUUGUUGUUGGUCUAAAGUUUGGUGCCAUUUGGCCUUGUAAGGUGACAAUGGCCAUUUUCUGUGUUUUCUAAGGUGAAGAUUUGCACGCUUAAGAGCAGAGGAUCUGACCAUUUUGAGAUGAAGAUUUGAACAGAUUCUGAAAUAAAAGAUUGGAUAUUGAUUUAAACCCAAUAACUUUAAAUAAAGGCUCCCCCUCCCCGCUCCCCCUACCCGGGGAUUUUAAACUGUUUCCUUUUUUUUUUUUUUGGAAAGGUUAAACUGUGUAAUUCAAUUCAAAGUUCAGUUACCAACCUCUCCAUUGAGCCCACCAAGUACAGAUAUUAAGGUUAUGUUGGUAAAUUUUGAUUCUUGUGCUUUUGCUUAAUUUACUUUGACGUAUCAUACAUAUAUUUAUAUGAAGCCUGGAAGCUGCAUAUCCUUUCGUUAGAACGCCCAAUUGCACAUUUUCAUAAGCGCAAGGAGCCUUGCCCAUUGACUUGUAAAGUUGUGAGGUGGUUUCUCGUAAAAACUAUGGCAACAGCAUAUUGACCAGAGACUUCUUUUCCUAUUAAUAAAUUGUUGCGUGACGAGUUGUUUAACAUUGAAAUCCAUAGAAAGGCUUUACGGCAGCAGAAAAGUAUUUAAAUCUAGAAGAAAUUGACUGAUCGAAUUAGAUACUGUCGCCUUCCUUGACUCACAAAGUUCUCAAAUCCAUCAACCCACCUGUUUUUCACCCAGGCCCUUGAUAGCAUAGGCAAAUAACAAGGCUCACGAAACGAGGAUUAAUUGAUCUCUCUCAUAAAAAAUUGGGGGGAAAAAAAAACCAAGUCACCUUCAUUUCAAUGGCACAAUUAGCUAUCUUUCAUCCACCACUAAUCAAUCCUGUUUCAAUCAUCAGCCCUGAGUUUUGUGCUCCUCAUCUUAUUGAUCUUGCAAUAGUGAGAAAGGUUAUGACCAUAAGCAGUGGCAACUUUGUUGUACGGGACAUCAUGGGGAACAUCAUUUUUAAAGUAAAAGGGACCCUUAUGAGCAUUCAAGAUCGUCGCGUUUUACUUGAUGCAUCUGGAAAUCCCAUUGUCACUCUACAACAAAAGGUCACGUAAUUGGUUACAUAAUUAAUAUCUUUCUUUGUUGAUCUCUUUUAAAGCUAAAUUUUUUAUUCAUUUCGUUCCAUGCAGUUAAUGUCAGCUCAUGACAGAUGGCAAGUUUUCAGGGGAGAAAGUACAGAGUCCUGUGAUCUCAUCUUUACUGCUAAAAGAUCAUCAGUGUUCCAGCUAAAGACCAAAUUAGAUGUGUUCUUAGCUAAUAACAGAGAGGACGUUUGUGAUUUUAAAGUCAAAGGAGGUUGGCUGGACAGAUCUUGUGUUGUUUAUGCUGGGGACGCAGACUCUUCCACAAUUGUUGCCCAUGUAAGAUCUUUUGCAACUUACAGCAAAUCAUUUUUCUAUAUGUUAAAUUCAGACUAAUAGAAUCAUAUGGAUUAUUGGAUAUACUUGCAGAUGCAUAAGAAGCACUCUGUCAAAAGUAUCUUGCUUGGAAAGGACAAGUUCAUGGUGACAGUGUAUCCGAAUGUUGAUUAUGCAUUCAUUAUUUCCCUUAUUGUAAUUCUUGAUGAAAUUAAUAGCUAAAACGACUAAUAUUGUUUGCUAUUGCUACAAUUGGGUUCAGAUUGACCGGUAAAAUAGUGAUAUAAUAUGUUGAUAAAUAGGGCGAGUCACUUGCUCAAGUCUACUCUUCUGGUUGAAUAUCAUGUUCUAAUACUCCAUAAUGGAUGUUGGAGACAAUUAACUAAGGGAUUUUUUUCCCCAAAUUGAUGUAUGCCCGCGUUAUUGUUGUUUGUUUGUAUUACUUUGGGUCAUUAAACAAAAUCCUGGAUAGAGUUUUGGGGGGGGCUUAUCUCUUGCCUUCAAAAUGUUUGAUAGAAGUUCUAAGAGAGCAUUAUAAGUUGGGGAACAAGUAUUAGCUUGCGCCAAGCACCUCCUUGUUCAGGUAUUCCCUCUACCAAGAAGGUUGAGUACUUGCAUCGGAAGUCCCUACCAACGUUCUUUUCUUUUUAUCGCAUUUUGCUCCUGAAAUUAAUCAUAUGAUCACAGAUAUGCGGCUUAUUUUAUUCAGAUUAACAAGUUUUGAAAGGGUUUAAAUAAUUUAGAUCGCUGCAUGCAAUGACACAAUCUGAACACAGUUUCUUUCAAACGAGCCGUUAACUCUUCUCAUUCGCACGAUCUGGUCACAGGACUCCACGCAAUUCGCAUGUCAGUAUAUCACAAAACUACAAAGGUAUCAUGUCAAUACUGACAGCCACAAUCUUAGUGCGCGACCCUCUUGGCACGUUUUUUCACACUUUGUUCGAUAAGGUCUGUGUGGUUAUCAUGUGAUCUUAGUGCGUAUGUAUUUCUUUCUUACAUCAGAGAAAUCAUUAAUUCAUGAACUAUUCGAGAUAUUUUUGUUUCUUUUCAUCGUGUGGUUCACACUCGAUUGCCAUGUCAAUUAUUACCACUCAGAAAUGAUCAGUGCCCUUCUUUGCAUAUAUCUAUAUAUUAAGAAUCCUCAUGCAAGUCUAAAACCUAUACCAAUUGGAGGUGCGAGCAAAGGCUCGUAUCAUAUCAUGGAGCAACCAAUUACACAACACACUGCAGACCAGAUGCCACAGCAACCAAACCCACAGCAAAUUCCACAGCAGCCAAUUAAUAUUCCAGCGCCAACUCCAGCACCAACAAUAUAUUCCAAUCCGGUUUCGGUAAUCGGCCCUCAGUAUUGCCUUCCUUAUCCCGUUGAUCUAUCCAUCGUUAGAAAGUUUUUAACCCUCACCGAUGGCAGUUUUGCUGUCACUGAUAUCAAUGACAAUCUCAUGUUCAAAGUGAAAGAAAAACUUAUAAGCCUCCAUGACAAGCGGACUCUACUUGAUCCUGCUGGCAACCCUAUUGUCACCAUAACAGAGAAAGUACACGCUUUCAUUUCCGUACUCUACAGAAUGCGGACUAGUUAACAAUAAUAUUGCUAAUUUAUUUUUCUUUGUUGUUUUACUACUUGUAUACAUAUGCAGGUUUUUUCCUUGCACGAGAAGCAUUUUGUAUUCAGGGGGGCUAGCACAGACACUAAAGAUCUUCUCUUUACUGUGGAAAGAUCUUCAGUGAUCCAAUUGAAGACCACUUUGAAC